rnacentral:sRNA from 1 species
AAAAUGUUAUAUUUUCAAUUACUAACUUUCUUUGUGAUAUUUGCUUCCGUUCGGACUUAUAAUCCAGAAAUCAUACCAGGGUUGACUGAGGCUGAACAAAAGGAAUAUAACAUAUGCCGUACAAGUGAGGAAAAAAAAAAUUCAGUCGAACUAGGAGUGGGAUGCGGAAUACAAUGUUUUUUGCGAGUUACUGGAUCGAUUGGCAAAAAUAAAAUUAACCUUAAAAGGUUGUUUGAUCAGUAUACGGCUGAGAUGAG